GCCCCUGUAGCUCAGUUGGAUAGAGCAGCGGACUUCUAAUCCGCAGGUCGCUGGUUCGAAUCCAGCCGGGGGUG
rnacentral:tRNA from 1 species